rnacentral:tRNA from 1 species
GCGGGUGUAGCUCAAUGGUAGAGCACCGGCCUUCCAAGCCGGGUACGUGGUUUCGAUUCCCAUCACCCGCUCCA